GCGCCAUCAACACCUUCACCAUCGACACCAUCAACACCACCUUCGCCAUGGGACUAAAGAGGAAGAAAACGGAAUCAAAAACAACCUUAUCCCUUCCCUAUCUCCUCCUCCUCCUCUUCCACCUCGCCCUCACCAUCCCUCCUGCUUCUACCACUACUACUGUUGCCCCCUCACUGCUACCUAGAGCCGUAACAACAGAAACAGCAACAGGAGGAACGGUGACGGUCUGGCCAGGGGUGACUCAGGCAAUACUGGCGCGUGACACGACCUUUUCUUGUACCCUUAUCUUGGUUCUCGACGCUGCCUCACCUGUUGCCUCGUCCCUCCCACAGUCGCUAGAGGCUUCAACACACGGGGCGGCGGUGGUGAUGGUGGUGGACAAGGAGGAGAGCAACUUAACGGACUCACUCACUCACCUGCUCCCCUUGGCACGCCAGGUUCGGCUAAGGUCCUGGUGUACGCGUGUCGUCGUGGUGAGCUCCGACGUCGCCUUCCUCGCCGCCUUCGCCAGCUGGUCUCUCCGUAGUCGCCUUCUCGUGUGGGCGGCGCGGCUGGUGGUGCUGACGAGCCUGCCGCCGCCCCUCCUCCUCGCCCUCCUCCCCUCCAGCUGGACCUUCGCCUGGAUGAACGCUGUGUUUGUCAAUGUGCAGGAUGCGACAGCUGGGGCGAGGUGAGAGGAAGGGAUUGUUGUUGGUGUUGUCAGUGGUGGUGGUAGUGGUGGUGGUGGUGUUGUCAGUGGUGGUGGUGGUUGUGGUGGUGGUUGUGG